rnacentral:rRNA from 1 species
AGAGUUUGAUCAUGGCUCAGGAUGAACGCUAGCUACAGGCUUAACACAUGCAAGUCGCGGGGUAACAUCUGGUAGAGCUUGCUCUUCCAGGAUGACGACCGGCGCACGGGUGAGUUACGCGUAUCCAACCUGGCCCAUACCACGGGAUAGCCCGUCGAAAGGCGGAUUAAUACCGUAUGCUGUCAUUAAGAUGCAUAUAUUGAUGACGAAAGGACUGGCGGUAUGGGAUGGGGAUGCGUCUGAUUAGCUUGUUGGCGGGGUAACGGCCCACCAAGGCGACGAUCAGUAGGGGUUCUGAGAGGAAGGUCCCCCACAUUGGAACUGAGACACGGUCCAAACUCCUACGGGAGGCAGCAGUGAGGAAUAUUGGUCAAUGGGCGCAAGCCUGAACCAGCCAAGUAGCGUGAGGGAAGACUGCCCUACGGGUUGUAAACCUCUUUUGUUUGGGAAUAAAGUGCGGGACGUGUCCCGCAUUGCAUGUACCAUUUGAAUAAGGACCGGCUAAUUCCGUGCCAGCAGCCGCGGUAAUACGGAAGGUCCGGGCGUUAUCCGGAUUUAUUGGGUUUAAAGGGAGCGCAGGCCGUGGGUUAAGCGUGUCGUGAAAUUCCGUCGCUCAACGGCGGACGUGCGGCGCGAACUGGUCCACUUGAGUACGCGGGACGUUGGCGGAAUUCGUGGUGUAGCGGUGAAAUGCUUAGAUAUCACGAAGAACUCCGAUUGCGAAGGCAGCUGACGGUAGCGCAACUGACGCUGAGGCUCGAAAGUGCGGGUAUCGAACAGGAUUAGAUACCCUGGUAGUCCGCACGGUAAACGAUGGAUGCCCGCUAUUCGCCCACCUGGGCGAGUGGCC